CCAAUCGUUUUUUUAACCAUUUUUUUCGUCUGGAAUUUUAGAACUACUUCAUAUAAGGUGUCUGUUUUUUGUAGGCUUAUCCUGGCAUGACGUUUUGAUAACCGCGCAAAUCUCUCUCGGACAAGAACUACACAUACUGCCUCAAGCUUUGACGUCAUCACCCAAGGCACGUUUCUCCAUGCAAACUCUCAUCGACAACUAACAAGUAAACUACCAUGUAGAUACAGUAUUAUAGCCUUUGUAGUUUCUCUUAAAUUAUUGAUAGUGUGUAUUUCUCGUAGUCUUGUUUAGUAUUCUUUUAAAUAGCUAGCAACGUUUAGCAGUUUAAAAUUACUAGAUUUUCUACAUUUGUAUUGCCCUCUGGCCUUUUGUAGCGAACCUUAGGUCUCCGUCGAUCAGAAGCAAGGAUGGUUCUGUGCUAUGUACCGGAUUGUAACCACUACUCAAAAGCACACACACAUUUUGUUUUCCGACCCCGAGAGACGUCGCUGGAGCAGUGUGAUAAGGCCAACAGGAGUGUACCCCUCAGAUCAUCUGGUGCAUGGACAUCCUGUGCCAGUGGUAUGAUAUCCUGUGCCAGUGUGAUCCGAGCGCAACCGUCCAGUUGUAGACUACAGCAGAUCGAGCCUGUGGACGGAGAGUCCAACAGGAGUGUAUCCUUCAGACCAUCCGGCGCAUAGACAUCCUGCGCCAGUGUGAUCCGAGCAUGAGCGUCCAGUUAUGGAGGCUACCAGUGGUGGAAAAAGUACUCAAUUGUCAUACUUGAGUAAAAAUGAGGCGUGACAUGCGAAACAUCAGUCUCACCCCCCGAGAAGCAGUACAUGAUCAACGCCAUCCUCAGCAAGGAGAUCUGCUGGAAGUGAUGUACUCUCACUCUGGGGACAACACCCCAUCCAAUGAGUGUGAUCUGAGGACCCUGCUUCACCGACAACACCAUGCCAGCCUGGUUGCCUGCAUGCCCCAGGUGCCCUUGUUUUUGAACAAUGUCUGGUACAGGGAGAGUUGCGGUUGUUCUAGCUCAGGUUCAAGGAGACGUGCCAUUCCACUGAACCUUCCCUGGGGACGGUUCCUUACCACUGAAGAUCCUCCUCUGUGGGCUCCCGGGACAGAGAGGAUUUGUAGUCUUCGGCCAGGUACAGGUCCUCCACUGACUGCACCUGGUUGGGCCCGGCUGGCUUCCUCCUCACACUCCACAUCCAUACAGCUGAUAUUGUGAACCGCCAAAUAGGCUGCAUGGCUACACUUAUGAGCUCCAUGGGGGCAUUUGCUUGUGGUAGAGAGAAUUACCUGGUCACUUAUUAUAGAGACCUGACAAGCGGAAGGAUGUUGGAUGUUAAGUGCCACAUGCCUUUCUGUGCUUGACUUUGAACACCCUGAAAUGCAUUUGUUGUAAGAGUGCUAUAUAAGAAGUUUGACAUUACAACUGUAGAAUAUUUCAACUGUAAUUUUCACAAGGACAAGUGCAGUUUUUCCAUAAACUUUUAAUUGAUAACUUGAUUUUCACUUGACAUAUCAGUCAGUGCCCAUAAUCAAGACUGAAUAAAUACAUUGUUUUUGAA